rnacentral:rRNA from 1 species
UAUUACGCCAGCUGGCGAAAGGGGGAUGUGCUGCNANGNCGAUUAAGUUNGGUAANNCCAGGGUUUUCCCAGUCACGACGUUGUAAAACGACGGCCAGUGAAUUGUAAUACGACUCACUAUAGGGCGAAUNGGGCCCGACGUCGCAUGCUCCCGGCCGCCAUGGCGGCCGCGGGAAUUCGAUUAGAGUUUGAUCCUGGCUCAGGAUGAACGCUGGCGGCGUGCCUAACACAUGCAAGUCGAACGAAGCAUCUUAUAGGAAGUUUUCGGAUGGAAUAUGGGAUGACUGAGUGGCGGACGGGUGAGUAACGCGUGGAUAACCUGCCUCACACUGGGGGAUAACAGUUAGAAAUGGCUGCUAAUACCGCAUAAGCGCACAGUACCGCAUGGUACGGUGUGAAAAACCCAGGUGGUGUGAGAUGGAUCCGCGUCUGAUUAGCCAGUUGGCGGGGUAACGGCCCACCAAAGCGACGAUCAGUAGCCGACCUGAGAGGGUGACCGGCCACAUUGGGACUGAGACACGGCCCAAACUCCUACGGGAGGCAGCAGUGGGGAAUAUUGCACAAUGGGCGAAAGCCUGAUGCAGCGACGCCGCGUGAGUGAAGAAGUAUCUCGGUAUGUAAAGCUCUAUCAGCAGGGAAGAAAAUGACGGUACCUGACUAAGAAGCCCCGGCUAACUACGUGCCAGCAGCCGCGGUAAUACGUAGGGGGCAAGCGUUAUCCGGAUUUACUGGGUGUAAAGGGAGCGUAGACGGCGAUGCAAGUCUGAAGUGAAAGCCCGGGGCUCAACCCCGGGACUGCUUUGGAAACUGUGUGGCUGGAGUGCAGGAGAGGUAAGUGGAAUUCCUAGUGUAGCGGUGAAAUGCGUAGAUAUUAGGAGGAACACCAGUGGCGAAGGCGGCUUACUGGACUGUAACUGACGUUGAGGCUCGAAAGCGUGGGGAGCAAACAGGAAUCACUAGUGAAUUCGCGGCCGCCUGCAGGUCGACCAUAUGGGAGAGCNCC